GACGAACGCUGGCGGCGUGCCUAAUACAUGCAAGUCGAACGCAGGGGGGACGGGGGAGUAACACGUGGGUAACCUCCCAUCAGAGGGGAUAACACUUGGAAACAGGUGCUAAACCGAUACUGAUGGAUGGUCCUGCGGUGCAUUAGCUAGUUGGGGGGGUAACGGCCCACCAAGGCCACGAUGCCUAGCCGACCUGAGAGGAUGACCGGCCACACUGGAACUGAGACACGGCCCAGACUCCUACGGGAGGCAGCAGUGGGGAAUCUUCGGCAAUGGACGAAAGUCUGACCCAGCCACGCCGCGUGAGUGAAGAAGGUUUUCGGAUCGUAAAGCUCUGUUGUUAGGGAGGCGGUAUCUAACCAGAAAGCCACGGCUAACUACGUGCCAGCAGCCGCGGUAAUAC
rnacentral:rRNA from 1 species